CAGCCGCCGCGGGAAUACGAAGGGUGCAAACGUUGCUCGGAAUUAUUGGGCGUAAAGCGCACGUAGGCGGCUCCGCAAGUCGGAUGUGAAAUCCCUCGGCUUAACCAAGGAAGUGCAUCCGAAACUGCAGAGCUUGGGUACUUAAGAGGAUCGCGGAAUUCCCGGUGUAGAGGUGAAAUUCGUAGAUAUCGGGAGGAACACCAGUGGCGAAGGCGGCGAUCUGGGAAGAUACUGACGCUGAGGCGCGAAAGCGUGGGGAGCAAACAGGAUUAGAUACCCCGUAGUCCCUGUCUCUUAUACA
rnacentral:rRNA from 1 species